GGUAUAGGUAGGUAGCCACUGCCUACCGUACAUGUAAGUGUCGAUAGUAUGUCAGAUUAGCUCCAGGCUACUGUCAGAACAUAGUGGCUGGGUGGCUGUCAUAAACUACCAAUGCCCAUACAUUUUGCUGUAUGGUGUGUUAAUCUUUCCCUCUUACUGCAGUGUCAGAUUUAGUUAAUUUGGAAGUAGCAGUUCGGGCGAACUGCUACUGUUCCCAGAAGAAAAACGCUUUUCAUAGUCUUUUGUGAAUCAAUGGGACUGUUACUUAGGCCUACCUUUCUGACCACUUUAAUUAGAUUUACAUUUUGUGAUUCAAACAACAGGCCCACCUCGUAAUAUGUAGCAUAAUGGAUAGCCUAGAGCAUGGUUUCAGACCUUCAGAUUCAGUUGCAUGUUCAGUCUGUGUGUUUUUUAUUAUUAUGGUUUCUUGUUGCUGUUCCAAAAUGCUCUCUCUUUCUCCAGAUCUGCUGUUGCAGAUGAUAAUGUUUUGUUUCAUGUCUGCUGUUGCAGAUUGUCAUGUUUUGUUUUAUAUCUGCUCUUCCAGACACAUGACAACCACUUCACAGGGGAGAAAAGCGUGCCAACACCUCUGUCGUGCACCAGUGUUCUGCAGACGUGGACCAAGGACACAGGGGAUUCGCCCGGAACCCAUUGACCAACUUGUGGUCAGGAAACCCAAGGUUUGGGUUAGGUGUUUUAUUUGAGCACAUACAUGGACACAUACCUCCUGAAUGCCAAGUAAAUAUGGCCGAGGGAUACACACACCCCAUUCCAUUUAUUUAUUUCUGUUAAAUGUAUAUAUGUAAAUAUUUUAAUCAAAGAAUUGGAAACGAACAUUCCUGAACAUUUGUUUUAAGGUAACACACUCUGAGCACCUUUAAAACAAGCCUGAAGACUUUUAUGUUUGCAUUAGCUUUCUGCUACAUCUUAAAUACAUUGCACUUUCUAAAAAGCUUUUUUAACUUUGCCUUUAUUUUCUAUUUUAAUACUAAAAUGCCUUUAACUUUCUAUUUUACUCAUUUCUCUGCAUAUGUUUUCUUUUACUUAUCUAUUUUAUUGUAUGACAAUGUUUAUAGGUGAAGCACUUUGAGUCUUCCCUUGUGUAUGAAAAGUGCUAAAUAAAGUUGCCUUGCCUAACACACACAGAACAUUUCAUUUCUUUCUGUUAAAUGUAAAUAUGUAUAUAUGUAAAUUUAAAAAAAAGAACUGGAAACAAACAUUAAAUAAACAUUUGAAAAGGACGGACGGACACAAACACACACACACCAUUUUAAUUUCUUUCUGCUAAAUGUAAACAAAGAACAUUAAUAAACGUUUAAAAAUAGU
ensembl:lncRNA